GAUGAACGCUGGCGGCGUGCCUAAUACAUGCAAGUCGAGCGAACAGAUGAGGAGCUUGCUCCUCUGACGUUAGCGGCGGACGGGUGAGUAACACGUGGAUAACCUACCUAUAAGACUGGGAUAACUUCGUGAAACCGGUGCUAAUACCGGAUAAUAUAUUGAACCGCAUUGUUCAAUAGUGAAAGACGGUUUUGCUGUCACUUCUACAUGGAUCCUCGCCGCAUUAGCUAGUUGGUAAGGUAACGGCUUACCAAGGCAACGAUGCGUGGCCGACCUGAGAGGGUGAUGGGCCACCCUGGAACUGAGACACGGUCCAGACUCCUAAGGGAGGCAGCAGUAGGGAAUCUUCCGCAAUGGGCGAAAGCCUGACGGAGCAACGCCGCGUGAGUGAUGAAGGUCUUCGGAUCGUAAAACUCUGUUAUUAGGGAAGAACAAAUGUGUAAGUAACUAUGCACGUCUUGACGGUACCUAAUCAGAAAGCCACGGCUAACUACGUG
rnacentral:rRNA from 1 species